GACGUAGGGGGCGAGCGUUGUCCGGAUUCACUGGGCGUAAAGCGCGCGUAGGCGGCUCGUUAAGUCGGAUGUGAAAACCCGGGGCUCAACCCCGGGCCUGCACCCGAUACUGGCGGGCUGGAGGCAGGUAGGGGAGAGCGGAAUUCCCGGUGUAGCGGUGAAAUGCGCAGAUAUCAGGAGGAACACCAGUGGCGAAGGCGGUGCUCUGGGCCGGAACUGACGCUGAGGAGCGAAAGCGUGGGGAGCAAACAGG
rnacentral:rRNA from 1 species